UCCCUGAUAGAGUGAGCGAGAGCUAGACCACAGAGGAGACUGAUUCUACUCACCGUGCGAGUUGCCUUUUUAAAAGGCUUAAAAAGGGACCUUGGGAGGAUGGUUAAAACCAACCCUUAUCAUCUGACAUUUCUGCAAAGCGCAUUUCCUGCGUUUGCAACUUGGGCAAGAAAAUGGAAGGCCAGGGAAACUAGCACGAGUCAUGGAACUAGCAGGUUAUGGAGCCAGGAUUUGACACAAGGUGAUGACUCCGUGUUCCGCCUUUCAACCACCUCCCCAUGCUGCCCUUAGAAGGCCUUGGAGGAGAAGUGGAUUACAUCAGAAGGCUCUCUUGGCAGCAGUGGAUGUCAGUUAGCAUCCUGAAAACAGACCCUCAGGCUGUCGGGGAGCUCAUUGCAAAGUUCAACCUCUUAAAAAAAAGGAGAAAAACAAUCUCAAGCUUUUCUAUAAUUUUUCCCUGUUGUUCAUUUUGAGGCAUAUACAGCUGUAUUUACGCAGAGCUGACUGUAUGCUGAGUUUAGAUUAAGGGUCUUAUUAAGUCCAUCUGAAGUCUCUUCAGUAACGCAGUUAUUAACAUUAAUAAUUAAUGCAUUUAUUAUUAGUAAUGCAGUUAUUUCCUUCCUUCCUUUUUUCCUUCCUUCCUUUCUCCCUCCCUCCCGCCUUCCUUUGUUUUCUUUCUAUCCCUCUUCAUUCCUCUUUGCAGAGCCCUCUUUCAGAAAAAAAUUAGAAUAGUUCACGUUGGGCUUUGCAUUCAAAGAUCCAUAACCACAGCAGCUUAUUUUUUCCAGCUGUCAAAAAUAGCAGUUACUGUUUAAAGAGGCGAAAAUUCUUUCAGAGACUUUUUAAUAUUUUAAAGAACAAUUUGAAGACCAUUAAGUCACUUCAGAGAUUUCCCAGUGUGAUACUGAGCAACUUUCUUCAAGGAGUUUCUUUUUAUUCGUGAGAACCAAAGGCGAGGCAUCUCAGGGCAGCCAGACUGCAGUGUUGAGACGGGACCUGGUUGUGGCAUCCAAGCCUUGCGUAUUAAUAAAGCCAUUUUUUAUUUCUUUCAUUGUGUCAUGCAUUCCUAUAGCUUGAGACUCUGGAGAACGUUUGAACCAUCUCCACUAUAUAUUACUUAGAUAUUCAAAAUUCUAGUGGGAAUGUUUGCUGGUCAGUUCACAUUUCUUGGAAAGGAAUGGAAUUGUAUUUUGAUGAUGAUCUAAUCCAACUGAAGUUGAGAUUUAAAAGAAUUGGGACGUCAUUUUAAUUUAGUUAGAGCGUAUCAGCAAGGUUGUUGACUACAUCAGCCUAAUUACAACAAAUCCAAAGAACCGGACCUGCUAGAAAUUUCCAGGAUCAACAAAGGCAA